GUGGAGUUUGGGCUGUGCUGGCUCAGUCCCAUGGUUGAAGCCCGUUCUGUGAUGGGUCAAAAACCCCAACAUUUCCAGAAGAAGAUGAAGAAGAUUUCCAAAAGCCUGUUCUGUGGUGGGUCAAAAAACCCCCAACAUUUCCAGAAGAAGAUGAAGAAGAUUUCCAGAAGCAGAGAGGACUUUUCAUCUCGUCCGCACGACAGGAAAGUUGGCAACUUAAAUGUUAAACUUUGCCUGUGACUGUUGGGUGUUGACAUCACGGUGAUCUCACCGCUGUAACCGGAGCCCUCCGGCUUUUCCUCCAGCCUGCCUUUAAAUACCACUCCUGGAGGCGGCACAGCAGCAGGGCAGAGCCGGCAGAGCUUCGAUGAAAGCAAAGACAAGCUCCAGCACUGCAGCCAUGUCCACAUCCCUGCGGGUGAGCCCCUCGGUCCAUGGGUACCGCUUCGACACCGCGCUGCGCAAGAAAGCCGCCGCCAACAUCUUCGAGAGCAUCAACGAGGCGUCCCUGCAGAAACUCUUCAAAAACUCCGGCGACAAAAAGGCGGAGGAGAGAGCCAAGAUAAUCCUCGCCACCGACCAGGACAUGGAGGAAAAAACGAGAGCGCUGAUGGCACUAAAGCAGAGGAGGAAAGACAAACUGCUGCAGUUCCUGACGUUUCGGAAAUACUCCAUUAAAGUUCACUGAGCUGGCAGAUGGAGAAGGUUUUGUGGCGGGACUGUUUGAGAGCUCCUAGCACGCUCAGCAUGCUCGGCUGCCCCGUGGGCCUGGGGAGCUGAGAGUCCAUGCAGGGGGCUUCAGCCCCACUGGAAACCAUGAGCCAACAGCAGCAUCACUGCGGGCAGCAGCAUCGGUGCCCACGGCAGCACUGGUGUGACCAGCAGGACUGUUGUGACCAGCAGCAUCAGUGCCCAUGGCACAUUGGUGUGGACAGCAGCCUGACCAGUGCCCACAGCAGCUCUGGUGUGACCAGCGGCAGUGUGGGGACCAGCAGGACCAGUGGCCACAGCAGCUCUGGUGUGACCAGCAGCUCUGGUGUGGCCAGCAGGACCAGUGCCCACACACAUCAGUGUGGACAGCAGCCUGGUGGCCAGAGGCUCUCAGAGAGAGAGAGCAGCUCCCAGCUGGAGGCAGAUUUGCUCCUCUGCGCAGCCAUGGGACUGAGCUGGGGGGAACCCCCACACCCAGGACCUCCUGAUGGACUUGGUGCUCACAGAUGUGAGCCGGGUGCUUUGCCUCUUCAGCCUGAGCCCCGCUGCUGGGGCUGGUGGGGGGCUCUGGAGCCCUCCCAGCUGCUGGUCAGGGUCAGAAUCUGUGAAAUGCCCCCAAAGGCAGCGUGUGGUGCAGCGAGUUCAGCCGUCCGGGAACGCAUUAACUCUGCACAGCUGUGCCUUUCCUUGCCAAGCUCUGUGUGUGCAGGAAAAGUCGUUUGCACAGAAGCAAUAAUAAUGACAGAUUUCCCUGAAUUUACUGUGAAGUUCCCUAAUAUUAUGUUCACUUACCACUAACACUAAAAAUCUAAAUAUAAUAACUACAGUUCUUCUCUGUGUAGGUGACAGCCACUAUUAGAUGAGUACUUACUUCAUGGCAAUAUUUUAUGACAAUGUUAAUAUUAUAUUGGCUAUAAUUUAUUGCAUACAGUGAUGUGAAAACUAAUAAAUUAUGAAGUAAAUCUAAAUUACCUUGUCUGAAAUGCUCAGUUCUCCUGGAGUGGUGGGGUUAGACUUUUUUUUGUCAUUUCAUAGAGACCUGGUUUAGGAGCAGACUAUCUGCAGCUCUCCCUCAUUGCCCAGAUAUGGCUUUGGCAGCCCAUUCUCAGGAUGUGGAGCAGCCCUUGGCUCCCCCAUCCCACCUGCCAGCGCCAGUUUGGCCCACAAUUGCGAUGGCAACCAUGUCAUUUCCCCAGAAAAACCUCACCAAAUUGAUUUCUAAUCAACUCCAGUGUCAGUUUCCCC
rnacentral:lncRNA from 1 species